GCGCCGCUUCUGUUGGUAAACCCUAGUUCACCGCAUCUAGGGCGCCGCAUCUUUUGCCUCCAGUUGACGAAAGUAUUGUACGGAUUCAAUGGGAACUGAAGAAUGCUGGUUAAAUCUUGAUAGCAUGGUGAUUGUUCAUAGGAAUCUAUCACCAUGCGGAAGAUGAAAUCUGCGAAAGUGAUGCAGAAAUUCCAUCGCCUGUGCCCAGUAUCCAUGUACUAGUAUACAACAUUAGAAGGCGAAAAAAUUAAAUGCAAUGGUUGUGGACCACAAGAUGCAAUAUUGGUGAAACAUUUCCAUGCGUGGGCCCACAACACGGACUCUAGCAUCUUGCGCCCGAAUACAGGGAAUGGAUACGGUGUUUCUCUUGAUGACAUUGGCAUGAAAGCCACACUUGAUAAGCUGAUGGAAGAUUACAUAAGCCUUAUUUCAAGAGUUUGAUUUCAGAUACCGAGUUCUCAAGAAACCCCGCAAGAGUCUACCCGCACACCCACCCCUCUUGCUGCUGUUCAACAAACACUGGUGGCAACUAAUCUAGUGUCUGAUGAACCUCGAUCAACCCCUCCACCACUGUCUCUUGAACCCAGUGGAAGUAAGUCCUCAACUAAAGCUCGAGCUCAAGUUCAAGCUCGUAACGAUAUGCCUGGCACUGAAACCAGUAGGAAGAAUAAGCUAGACCGUUAUGCACCCAGAAUGACAGUUGAAGAAUUUGAUAGCAUCUUUAAGCGGUGUUCUUUCAAUUCUUUAAAAUACUAGCACCUACUAUACAUAAACAGAAGCAUAGAUGAUUUUAUUUAUGCGUAACAAACAAAUUAUUUCCCGCCGUGAUUCUUUGACUGUGUGAAUGAGAUGGUUACUCUAUUGUUUGAGAAAUCAUUGACUGUUACAGAUACCGGGACGAGUGGACGCCUUGUGCUGCCAAAAAACUGUGCUGAGGUUAGCAUCAGUGGCUUGUUGACGUGGUUUCUGGAAUCCCAAGGAUGAAACUACGGGUGGUUGUGGACCCAACAAUGCGGUUUGUUGAUGUGGUUUUUGGACUCCCACGGAUGGUGUUCUUCAAGAAUCGGAAAUAUUUAGUUUGGCACAGAAAGGUGAGAAGCUAUAUGGGAAUGGAUUAAAGCUUUCUGAACCUUGUGAUGAUUGAUUAUGAUUUGAAGAUUAGUUUUAAUGACAAUUUAGAUAGUUGGUUGUGAUGAUUGAUUAAGAUUUUACGUUUUCCAGAAGUAUACACCAUUUUAUAAUUUUAUGUGUAUCUUGUAAUUGAUUCCUAUAAUAGAUGUAACAUUUAAAUACUUAUUCAAGGGUUUAACAUUUGCUUCGGCUU
rnacentral:lncRNA from 1 species